GGCCUGAUAGCACAAUGGUUAGUGCGUCUGCUGAACUUGUUUAUUCAGUAUUGUGAGUGUUUCUGCAGAAGGCCCCCGUUCAACUCGGGGUCAGGUCA